rnacentral:lncRNA from 1 species
GGGGAACUUGUCUAAACCACCAGGCCCUGGGGGAUGAGAGCAGCUGGUAUUGGGCUGUGCCUGCUGGGGGAUGGGAGCAGUAGCUCUCAGGCACCCCUCAACGCCCCGCAGUCUCUGGGCUGGGGGUACCCCGGCUAGCAGUAACCACUGCUCCAAGGUGAAGACUUGACAGAAGCGCUUCUAACUCCUCCACGAGGUUCCCACUGGACUAGGGAGCGAGGGAAGCCCAGAGAAGGGGCCAUGAGGCUAUGGCGUGGACCAUGAUGUUACAGCAGUCCUUUUAUCCUAGGGAGAGCUCAGCCAGCCUCGUCCCAGACCACAGGUAUAACUGACCUUCGGAAGUUGGGGUGGGAUGCUGUCUCAGCUCUCCCUGGCUGCCUCGUAGCCAACCAAGGGUGGGGGACCUGGAGAUGCUGUCUGCAGGCCAUUUGGCAACUUGAGUCAAAAGGCCUAAAAAUAUGAACAACCUUUAAUCCAGCAAUCCCAUUCCUGGGAACCUGCCCUAAGAAAAUCACAGCUUGAAGGAAGGGAGAAUUGGAGUGGUUAGCCUCUAACUUGCUCCGUGAUCCCUGGCUCACAUUGGACCCAGCGGCUGUUGUCCAGCCUCCCCCAGUGAGGUUGUUCCCUCCCAUAGGAUCAUGUCCAUCAUCCUCCCCAGAGAAUGUGGCCCAUGGUGCCAGGCCACUGCCCAGGCCUGUGUUACACAUUCAUGGACCUUCCCUGUCCAUCCUCCACCUUUCUGGGACUCAGGCUUCUCUCUGCCCAAACACGGGCAUCCUAGAGGCCCCCUCCUCCAGGGAGUCUGCUCAGAUUUCAUCUAUGGGCAUCCUGCACCCUGUGUGCCCCCAGGUGGAGGUCUUUGGAGGCCUCUGUCCUCCCUGUGGGUAUGAGGUGGCUCCACUCUCCAUAGGGCUGUUUGACCACUCCCUGCUGAAUUCCAAGAGUCUCUAGCGGGUGUGAGACUGGACUGCUGUCCUUCCCUAGGGGGAAGGGGUGGGCACCACGACAACACACCUGGCAGGUCAGCCUCAUGCUCCCCAUCUUUGGCAGUGCCCGGCCUCAACAUAGCAUACCCUGGGAUGCCUGGACACAGGCAAGGCCCCCCUCUUCCCCUCCCUCUCUAGGCCCUCGGGGGGUCAUCUGUUCUUCCCCCUGCCUCCAGCCCUUGCUGCUUACAAGUCUAUUUUUCCAGCAGGAGGUGAGUGAACUUCUGCCCUUUGUUCCCUGUAAGUCCAAGAGACAGAGGUGGCUGGGUGCAGUGGCUCAUGCAUGUAGUCCCAGCAUUUUAGGAGGCCAAGGAGGGAGGAUUGCUUGAAACCAGGAAUUUGAGA